CCCAGCAUAUACACAAUUUCCAAAAUGAUCCUUCAACACCCCUACAAUCCAUACAACAACCUAAACACCCAUAUGUACUGUUCAUCUUUCUCACUCACUGCGUAUAACCAAACACGCAAUUUAUACAGCUGCAUACAGACGCUCUAUAUAAACGCUAUAGUUAUACCACAUCCAUUCGUAGCCCAACGUGUUGGUUUGACAAAAAAUAUCAGCGAAUUUGGUAAGACACUUAUACUUUACACUUAUUUCACAAUAAUCAUAUACAUAUUUUGCUAUUCUUAUGUUUAUUCACUCUGUAAUCCAAAUCGGUUUCUGUAUUCUAUCCUUCUUAUACAUGUGCCAACCCCAAUCCCUGCUGACGAGUCCAUGAAGGACGAAACGCCGCGUACAGGGAUACUGAAUUUUACACACAUGACUAUCUCCUCUCGCUUUAUAUAUUUUACAUGCCUCCAUACAAGCUUUUUAGUACAGCGAGAUCAUACUCCUUGAGUCUGAUCAAAUUUAUUUGCACCACAGGAUAUUUUACCGUUACAAUUUCACACACGCAUCUCCAAUUUUAUGUUCCAAAAGUAUACACCUACACUUAGGCCCUGUUUAGACGGCGAACUUUUCAUGCGCCGAAUCUAAUGCAAGGAUUAAGUGCGACGCUGGAGCGGCGUCUAAAUCAAUUAAGUUCGGCAGAUUUUGAUUAAGUUCGACACGACUCGAAGAUGCGACAAGACAAGUCGUAUAUGCGACACAGGUUCGACAUUGAUUUAGACGUCGUGCUUUUCAUGCGCCGAACCUAAUGCAUACUUAAUUUUUUAACAUUACAAUAUGAUUAUCAUAUAUUUGCAUUGUAAAAAUGUCCAAUAUAGUGUCCUCGCAAUUUGGUACGGCACAAUUAAGUUCGACGUCUAAAUCAGUUUCCAAUAUUUUGCCGUAUCUACGGCAAUUAGAUUCGGCGCAUGAAAAGUUCGCCGUCUAAACCGGGCCUUAUAUUUCUUAGGUUCACAUUUAUACAUAUACAAGUGGGUUUUUUAUUUUUUAUUCUCAGGUUUAUCUAAACAACAUUUUUUCACAAGCAUACAUUGUGCAAACAACACGAGGCCAUCACACUAUCAUCUUUCACACUACAUUUUCUAAUAUUUUAGGGACUAUUGUGGCAUAAAUUUAUUACUAGGACACCAAUAUGGUUCUCAUUACCUAUAUCUAAACUUUAAAAAACUUAUAAGUUUUUAGGUCUAUUUCUAAUAUCUAUCAGGUAAACACUGUUCAUCAGUUCAAUUGGAGUACCUAUAGUUAAAUUAUAUACAGAACAAUUACUAAAUACAUUCUGUAUAAUUGUCCUCUAAAAGUUGUUUUUUAUUCCCUAGUGUACACUAAUAAUUAUAUGUUUCUAAUGUUAUUCUAUAUAUAACAUGUACACAGUGGCGUAGCUAGACCUUCAUUUUUUUUCAUUUUUUUUUUUUUUGGGGGGGGGGCGAAGCGAACGCCGAAGGCACGAGACCAUCUAGGGGGUCCGGGGGCAUGCCCCCCCCCGGGAAAAUUUUGAAAUCUAGAGUACCUGAAAUGCGAUUUCAAGCAUACUGGGGGUAACAUCUUGCCGAAUUCCGACGAUUAAAGAGUACAUCGAAGACAUAAAUUUUCCCAGACAUUUCUAAUUUUCUACUCGGAAUUAAAUAAAUUGGAAAAGUCACCUUGAAAAACAGGAGGAGUCGGUCAGCGUCACCUUAUUUCCCCUCUGUGAUGCUGGGGGAAGAAAAUCCCAAUGUGAUUUUGAUCAGAAAUGUUGCAUUUAAAUCAUUCUAGGUUCUAUGAGACAGCAUUUCCGCAUUCUCAAAAUUGCGUUGCUUUUUUAUACGAUACAGAAUAAGUCUGAGAAGAAUAUUCAUGCUAUGAUAAUGCAUACAUGUAAAUCUAAACUAAAUCUAUUCUUCUUGGAGUCCAUAUCUACAACUGCUUUAACGAGAUUUCACAAAUCAAGUUCCUCCAGUAUAUCGUCGUUUUCCUCAGUCGAGACGUACUUAAAGCGGCAGUGUCACCGGCUGCGCAUCCGUUCUGCGCAUAGAUCAACUUGAAAAAGUUGACCCAACUUUUUCAAGUGUAUCGAAUUUCAAUAUGGCGUCUGCCCGGGGCGUCAUGCUGACUCAGUACGGGGGUUCAAGGAAAAAUGCUGGUCGAAAAAGGAACUUAUUGCUACAGCGAUAAGAGUUUUUAUUGCUUCCCGGAAUAAUUUAUAGUUGAAAUUAAUUAUGCGAAAUAAGUUAUUUGCGCGCGCAAGUUAAUUUAAGUGUAGUCACGUGACUGGAAAUUUCGGUAUUUAUCAGUGGUGAAGCGGGCCAUCUUUCCUUUCCUAUUCCAUAUGGGCUGCAGUUCACAUCAAGAAAUUGGAUGGAAGAGAAUUAUCUUCCGUAUCUGGUAAAUAUCUCUUACUUAUGCAUAAUAAUUAUAAUAUAUUGGAUACCAAGGACAUUUCCAAUUUGCUUGCGACAUAUGGAUAUUUAUGGGACUUUACUUACAAACCAGACUGCGGGGUUGGCCAUUUCGGGUUCGCAAAAGUUAGAAACUCGAAGUGCGGGUGCGCAAAACAGUUCCCAAGUGUGCAUCAAGAUGCAGUCAAGGGCACAAAAGUAGCGAGAUACAUGUUAACAACAAUGAAAAUUAGAGAUUACAGGGCAGGUUAAAUUGCGAAAAUUGUUAUAAAGUGUUAAAUUUCUGCCUAAAAAAUAUCGAGUGCGACGUUGACUAACUCUGCAGUCUGGCUUACAAUGACUCACAUAUUCAUGACUUUUAGUCGCAGUCUACAGGGGUAACUACAAUACACUCUAAAUAUGAAUAAAUGUGAACUUUAGGAAUUUAUUAGCCAGCCCCUAGUCUUCCGAUUUAUAAAAUGGGAGCUAAAUUUUUGGGGUGACAUCUACCCUCAGUGUGUAAUAGAUAGUUUUGCUCACACAGCUACUCGUGGUCGUGAUUCUACAAGCGUAGCAGAUCAAUACUGGGCUCCUUGCGAUUUUGGGGCGGCGGCGACGGCCACAACACACUCCUUCAAAUAAAUGGUAGUAAAAAUAAUUCGACGCGUAUUAUCAGUCGCCGGUAUAAAUUUAAUACAGUCUUACAUUUAAGACAUAUUUUAUUUUAUUUUAUUUUAUUUUACAAUAUUUCAGAGGCUCAGAGCGGAACACUCCCUUACGAGUAACCUUAACUAUUUAUACAGAAUACAUAUAAGUGAUAAUUAUUAACAACACGAUUUAACAGAGAGACCAGACAAGGUACGACAUGAAUGACAUUUAACAUGGGUUUUAUGACUGGGUAGAGUUCGGCUGAACCUGGUUUGAAAUUGCACUUGUUGCGGCUUGAAAUGCAGCCGUUGCAUCAAGACGAAAAAUCUCUAUUUGGCGUUGUAAUUACAGAGCGAAGACAAUGUCUAAAUUAUUCAUAUAUUGCGAUUAUUCUAUUCUCUCAAUGAUUUAUUGUAUUGGAGGCCGUUGCUGUCGCGUUGCCGCCCUGGGUCGUAGGGUCUCUAAUGCGAAAGCUCAGCGUCUUUGACUUGUGCAUGCAAGCGCUGCGUUUAAUA